UACAGAGGUCUCAAGCGUUGUUCGGAAUCAUUGGGCGUAAAGCGCGCGUAGGCGGCCCGGUAAGUCCGCUGUGAAAGUCAAAGGCUCAACCUUUGAAUGUCAGCGGAUACUGCCAGGCUAGAGUCCGGAAGAGGCGAGUGGAACUCCUGAUGUAGCGGUGGAAUGCGCAGAUAUCAGGAAGAACACCAACGGCGAAGGCAGCUCGCUGGGACGGAACUGACGCUGAGGCGCGAAAGCGUGGGGAGCGAACAGG
rnacentral:rRNA from 1 species